GCAGCGGGCGCGCAAAUUACCCAAUCCCGACACAGGGAGGUAGUGACAAAAAAUAACAAUACCGGUCUUAUUUAAGUCUGGUAAUUGGAAUGAGUACAAUCUAAAUCCU
rnacentral:rRNA from 1 species